UGUGGUCAGCUCAGAUGACCCAGCCACCUUUGGAGCGACUGGGCUCUCGUACGACUUCUACGAGGCGUUUGUGGGCCUGGGCGGGAUGAACGCCCACCUGGGCACGCUCAAGGAGCUGGCUAUCAACUCCAUCAGAUACAGCUCCCUCUCUCCUGAACUGAAGGACAAAGCGCUGGCCCUGUGGCAGAGGAAGUGGGACAAGUUCAUUUCUGAGAACUCUCAAUAGAGCCCAGAGCACAAGAGGGAAUGACUGGGAACCAGGUGGCAAAGUCACACCAGGCCACGGGGUUCAUGUGCCAGAUAAAUCCACAGAGAUGUGUCCAGGACAGAGAGGUUCUCUUCCACUAAGCAUGAGCCAUGGUCCCAGUGUUGCCAACCUCUUGCCUUCGUUGUGUGCCUCCACUAAAAAUAGUGAAUUUGGAAAGAUCUCAGGAAAGCAAAUGCUGCCCUCUGGUGGAAUGUGGGCUGUUUGCUCUGUGUCAGGAAGUGGUGCUGUAACCACAGUGCUGUAAGCUCCCACAAAAUGGAGGAAUCCUUGAUAUGUCUGGAAGGAAAGGUUCUUGAAACGUUCCAUAUCGUGGAUAUAGACAGCACACUUUAUUGCUAACAAAGUGAGAAUUAUCUGACUGACCUGACAAUCUUAAACACUUAAUGUAUAUUUUUAAUAUUUUAAUCCCAGUGAUUUUUAUUUCACCAAUCUGGAGCGCCCAAGCACAUUUCUAAACCUGACUCAUCUCUGGUGUCAGCCUUUAUCAGUUCAGGGGUGUGUAUCAUGAAACAGGAUUAUUGAGUUAUCUGGAUAACUGCACUGAGUAAAACCCAGAACCAUCCCAAGUGCGGAAUAUGGACUGGAGUAAAAAUAGCUGUUCUGGGUUUUACUCAACGCAGUUAUCCGGCUAAGUCGGUAAUGCUGCUUUGUGAUGCAGGCCCCAGGAGAGUAUAUAUUAGCAGGUGUCUUAUCUGAAGCAUGUGCAUACUUCUGCAGUCCACCAGCAAAACUGUGCAACUGCUUUGGUUGAAAGGCACCUAAUAUAACUUGAACCAGUGCUCUACCCUGAAAAGCCACACAAGAGUCCUUAAAUACUUGAUUCUAAUAUUGGAUGCUGCAGCUGCAGGCUUGGUCUUCACCCGAUGUGACUGAGGAAAUGGAGACAAGUCUCAGUGAUGUGUGAAUGCUUUUAUAUGGAUAAAGAUUUUUACACUGUGGAGUUAUGAGGACAUUUACUGGAGUCGUCCGUUUAAUGUUUUAUAUGACUGAAAUUAGUAGUCGCACAGGAAUUGCCUUAAAAGGCUAUGUCAUUUUUGUCUGUCACAUUCUGCUUGCUUGUAUUACUAAAUUAAAUGGGGAGUCUACGUCACACACAACAAAAUGUUCUAAUUGGCGAAAGAAUAAGAAUCUGCUAUAUUUUGCGGAAGUCAUUCAUUACAUUGUUGAUAAAGUAACUUACCAACUCUU